GCAAGUCGAGGGGUAACAGGAGUAGCUUGCUACUUGCUGACGACCGGCGCACGGGUGCGUAACGCGUAUACAAUCUACCCAUUACUAAGGGAUAGCCCAUGGAAACGUGGAUUAAUAUCUUAUAGUAUUUAGAAAUCGCAUGGUUUUUAAAUUAAAGGUUACGGUAAUGGAUGAGUAUGCGUCCUAUUAGCUAUUAUGUAGGGUAACGGCCUACAUAGGCGAUGAUAGGUAGGGGUUCUGAGAGGGGGAUC
rnacentral:rRNA from 1 species